rnacentral:rRNA from 1 species
AGCAGCCGCGGUAAUUCCAGCUCCAAUAGCGUAUAUUAAAGUUGUUGCAGUUAAAAAGCUCGUAGUUGAAUUUUGGGUCUGGCCGGGCGGUCCGCCCUCUGGGUGAGCACUGUUCCGACGCCGGGCCUAUCCUUCUGGUGAGUCGGCAUGUCCUUUAUUGGGUGUGUCGGGGAACCAGGACCAUUACCUUGAAAAAAUUAGAGUGUUCAAAGCAGGCGUAUGCUCGGAUACAUUAGCAUGGAAUAAUGAAAUAGGACGCGUGGUGCUAUUUUGUUGGUUUCUAGAACCGCCGUAAUGAUUAAUAGGGAUAGUUGGGGGCAUUAGUAUUCAAUUGUCAGAGGUGAAAUUCUUGGAUUUAUUGGAGACUAACUUCUGCGAAAGCAUUUGCCAAGGAUGUUUUCAUUAAUCAAGAACGAAAGUUAGGGGAUCGAAGACGAUCAGAUACCGUCGUAGUCUUAACCAUAAACUAUGCCGACUAGGAAUCGGGCGAUGUUAUUCUCAUGACUCGCCCGGCGCCUU